GUGACAGAAGAGAGUGAGCACACAUGGUGGGUUUCAUGCAUGCAUGGGAGAGUUCAUGCUCGAAGCUAUGCGUGCUCACUUCUCUAUCUGUCAA
rnacentral:pre_miRNA from 1 species